rnacentral:pre_miRNA from 1 species
UUGGAGGAUUUGAAGAUUUCAACUCGCAUACUCGAAGAAUUUGAAGACUUCAACUUGCAUAUUUGGAAGAUUUAAAGACUUUAUUG